rnacentral:rRNA from 1 species
UACGUAGGCAGCGAGCGUUGUUCGGAAUUACUGGGCGUAAAAGCGCGUGUAGGCUGCUUCGCAAGUCGGAUGUGAAAGCCCUGGGCUCAACCCAGGAAGUGCAUUCGAAAACUGCAGAGCUGGAGUCCUGGAGAGGAAGGCGGAAUUCUCGGUGUAGAGGUGAAAUUCGUAGAUAUCGAGAGGAACACCGGUGGCGAAAGGCGGCCUUCUGGACAGUGACUGACGCUGAGACGCGAAAGCGUGGGGAGCAAACAGG